ACCCAGCUGACGAGCUCCGAAUAAGACGAAACGCGAUUCCUGGAU
rnacentral:hammerhead_ribozyme from 1 species